rnacentral:rRNA from 1 species
UACGUAGGGCGCAAGCGUUGUCCGGAAUUAUUGGGCGUAAAGAGCUCGUAGGUGGCUUGUUGCGUCUGCCGUGAAAGCCCGUGGCUUAACUGCGGGUCUGCGGUGGAUACGGGCAGGCUAGAGGUUGGUAGGGGCAAGCGGAAUUCCUGGUGUAGCGGUGAAAUGCGCAGAUAUCAGGAGGAACACCGGUGGCGAAGGCGGCUUGCUGGGCCAGUUCUGACGCUGAGGAGCGAAAGCGUGGGGAGCGAACAGG